UACGUAGGGGGCAAGCGUUGUCCGGAAUCAUUGGGCGUAAAGCGCGCGUAGGCGGCCUCAUAAGUCCGUUGUGAAAGUCAAAGGCUCAACCUUUGAAAGCCGAUGGAUACUGUGAGGCUAGAGUCCGGAAGAGGCGAGUGGAAUUCCUGGUGUAGCGGUGGAAUGCGUAGAGAUCGGGAAGAACAUCAGUGGCGAAGGCGGUCUGCUGGGCCGCUGCUGACGCUGAGGCGCGACAGCGUGGGGAGCAAACAGG
rnacentral:rRNA from 1 species